rnacentral:rRNA from 1 species
UACGUAGGUCCCGAGCGUUGUCCGGAUUUAUUGGGCGUAAAGCGAGCGCAGGUGGUUUAUUAAGUCUGGUGUAAAAGGCAGUGGCUCAACCAUUGUAUGCAUUGGAAACUGGUAGACUUGAGUGCAGGAGAGGAGAGUGGAAUUCCAUGUGUAGCGGUGAAAUGCGUAGAUAUAUGGAGGAACACCGGUGGCGAAAGCGGCCCUCUGGCCUGUAACUGACACUGAGGCUCGAAAGCGUGGGGAGCAAACAGG